AGAGUUUGAUCCUGGCUCAGGACGAACGCUGGCGGCGUGCUUAACACAUGCAAGUCGAGCGGAAAGGCCCCUUCGGGGGUACUCGAGCGGCGAACGGGUGAGUAACACGUGAGCAACCUGCCCCUGACUCUGGGAUAAGCCCGGGAAACUGGGUCUAAUACCGGAUACGACGCGCUCCUGCAUGGGGGUGUGUGGAAAGUUUUUCGGUUGGGGAUGGGCUCGCGGCCUAUCAGCUUGUUGGUGGGGUGAUGGCCUACCAAGGCGACGACGGGUAACCGGCCUGAGAGGGCGACCGGUCACACUGGGACUGAGACACGGCCCAGACUCCUACGGGAGGCAGCAGUGGGGAAUAUUGCGCAAUGGGCGGAAGCCUGACGCAGCGACGCCGCGUGGGGGAUGACGGCCUUCGGGUUGUAAACCCCUUUCAGCAGGGACGAAGCUAACGUGACGGUACCUGCAGAAGAAGCGCCGGCUAACUACGUGCCAGCAGCCGCGGUAAUACGUAGGGCGCAAGCGUUGUCCGGAAUUAUUGGGCGUAAAGAGCUCGUAGGCGGUCUGUCGCGUCCGUCGUGAAAGCCCACAGCUUAACUGUGGGUCUGCGGUGGAUACGGGCAGACUAGAGGCAGGUAGGGGAGAACGGAAUUCCCGGUGUAGCGGUGAAAUGCGCAGAUAUCGGGAGGAACACCGGUGGCGAAGGCGGUUCUCUGGGCCUGUACUGACGCUGAGGAGCGAAAGCGUGGGGAGCGAACAGGAUUAGAUACCCUGGUAGUCCACGCCGUAAACGUUGGGCGCUAGGUGUGGGGUUCUUCCACGGAUUCC
rnacentral:rRNA from 1 species